AAUAGAUACCCCGGUAGUCCACGCCGUAAACGAUGAGUGCUAAGUGUUGGGGGGGUUUCCGCCCCUCAGUGCUGCAGCUAACGCAUUAAGCACUCCGCCUGGGGAGUACGGUCGCAAGACUGAAACUCAAAGGAAUUGACGGGGGCCCGCACAAGCGGUGGAGCAUGUGGUUUAAUUCGAAGCAACGCGAAGAACCUUACCAGGUCUUGACAUCCCGGUGGCAACUCUAGAGAUAGAGCGUUCCCCUUCGGGGGACAGAGUGACGGGUGGUGCAUGGUUGUCGUCGGCUCGUGUCGUGAGAUGUUGGGUUAAGUCCCGCAACGAGCGCAACCCUUGAUCUUAGUUGCCAGCAUUUAGUUGGGCACUCUAAGGUGACUGCCGGUGACAAACCGGAGGAAGGUGGGGAUGACGUCAAAUCAUCAUGCCCCUUAUGACCUGGGCUACACACGUGCUACAAUGGAUGGUACAAAGGGCUGCAAGACCGCGAGGUCAAGCCAAUCCCAUAAAACCAUUCUCAGUUCGGAUUGUAGGCUGAAACUCG
rnacentral:rRNA from 1 species